rnacentral:misc_RNA from 1 species
AAUUUUCAAAGCCCUGCUUGGCUUAUACCAAAGUCAUUCAAGGCGUUUGGAUUUGUGGAGGUUGCUGGACAGUCUUAACUAUCAGCUCUUCUGAAAUUCAUUAGCGAAACUUGUGUUACUGGCUAUAUUCCGUGGUAUGAUAAUUAUCUAUACCACUUGAAUGUCCAGGCUUUCUUUAUUGAAAGAGUUUUGCUCUCAAAUUGUCUUUUCAAAACAAAUUAUCGAACA